UGUUUUUGUAAAAAAAAUCAAAUAUGUUCAUCCCUUCUCUCCCUUAUUCGGCGACGAUGACGGUAGAACUUCCUCAACUGUCAUGAAACGGAUCUGUGAUUAAUCCCAUCAAUUGAGAGGUCGGGUAUAAAUAGUCCGGCAAGUGUUCUCCUGCGAUUCUGGGAGGCCAGGAAUGUCAAGCGCUCAUGUGGCUUGAUAUGCUGAUGGUGGACGUUUUAUUAUUUAGAUGUAUCACUUGGAAAUAUAUUCUCUUCCCUGAAACAAAGAAUAUCACCAUUAUUUGUUUCCAGAGGCUGAUAAGAUCAAAGACUGAAACCAAAGGUUAUCAACCACGCUGAUACAUUUAGAUCGGUUUCAGACAAUGAAACCAAACUUCAGGAAGAGAAAGUUUGAAAGUUGAUCCCAGCUGGAGUCUCCAGCGUUGUUGUCUCCUACAACGUUCAAAGGUUUUUUUAGUUUCACAAUCUCUCUCUCUUGCCUCUGACUAUAAGAAAGUGUUCUUCUUUAUGGAUUCAUGAACCGUAUGUAUAACAAUAUGAGCUAUAGUUUAGUGCAAGAUAUUCUCUUGAGAUGUUAAUUUGGUGUUUGUGAUCAGGUUUCAGGAGAGAUUGUUGGAUCCAAGAGAAGCAAGCAGGAUUAAGCUGAACUUAAUAUAGAAGUGUGUGGUUAAUCAGGGUUCACAUUUAUAGAGUAUGUUGUUAUACGCCGUUACCCAUAUGUCGAUUAGUUGACACACCAUUGCUGCCUUACUGGCUCUAAAAGCUUUGUUAUGAAGGUAAUCGGCACCUGAAGUACUUCUACAGUCCUAUGUAUACACAUUAAAAGUUGUGGCUCUGCUCUGGGAUCCAUGCAACAGACCGACUGAUGCAGAGGCUCUGUACGUUCCGUCCUUUCAGGUACACCAGAGAGUAUGUGCUUCAGACGCUAUGGCUGUUACCGUUCCUGUCUUGAUCAGUUGAUUUAACUUUUGUAUAUGAUGUUAAAUGUUGCUUUGCAAUCUUUGUAGCUGCAGAGGCUUUGUACGUUCCGUCCUUUCUUUUACUGGACAUAUUUUUUUUUAAAGAUAAUAUUAACAGUUUA